GAUGAACGCUGGCGGCGUGCCUAAUACAUGCAAGUCGAGCGAACAGAUGAGGAGCUUGCUCCUCUGACGUUAGCGGCGGACGGGUGAGUAACACGUGGAUAACCUACUUAUAAGACUGGGAUAACUACGGGAAACCGGAGCUAAUACCGGAUAAUAUAUUGAACCGCAUGGUUCAAUAGUGAAAGACGGUUUUGCUGUCACUUAUAGAUGGAUCCGCGCCGCAUUAGCUAGUUGGUAAGGUAACGGCUUACCAAGGCAACGAUGCGUAGCCGACCUGAGAGGAUGAUCGGCCACACUGGAACUGAGACACGGUCCAGACUCCUACGGGAGGCAGCAGUGGGGAAUCUUCCGCAAAGGGCGAAAGCCUGACGGAGCAACGCCGCGUGGGUGAUGAAGGUCUUCGGAUCGUAAAGCUCUGUUAUUAGGAAAGAACAAAUGUGUAAGUAACUAUGGACGUCUUGACGGUACCUAAUCAGAAAGCCACGGCUAACUACGUG
rnacentral:rRNA from 1 species